UAUGUGAUCGUCUCUCGCAUAUCAAUAAGCGGAGGAAAAGAAACUAACAAGGAUUCCCCUAGUAACGGCGAGUGAAGCGGGAAGAGCUCAAAUUUGAAAUCUUAAAGGGUUUCCCUUUACGAAUUGUAGUUUAAAGAAGUGUUUUCUGUUGAGGUUUUGGUAAAAGUUCUUUGGAAUAGGACAUCAUAGAGGGUGAGAAUCCCGUAUUUGACCUUUACUUUCAACUCUGUGAUACACUUUCAAAGAGUCGGAUUGUUUGGGAAUGCAGUCCAAAAUGGGUGGUAAAUUUCAUCUAAAGCUAAAUAUUAGGCGAGAGACCGAUAGCGAACAAGUACCGUGAGGGAAAGAUGAAAAGAACUUUGAAAAGAGGAGUUAAACAGUACGUGAAAUUGUCAAAAGGGAAGCGUUUGACACCAGUGUUGUUUUUCUGAAAAUCAAUUAAAGAACUGUUUAUGCUAAGCUGUUUAGACUUUAUCAGCUAUCUGCUUUAGUUUUGAGCUUUUCUUUAAUGCACUUUUCAGUUAACAAGUCAACAUCAAUUUCCUUUUGCUGUAAAAAAGCUUGAGGAAGGUGGCUUGAGAUUCGUCUUAAGUGUUUAUAGCCUCUUGCCUAUGCAGUCGGAGAGAUUGAGGUCUGCAGCGUAGAUCCUUCGGGGCUAAAUGCAUUUGUGCUAAGUUAUAACAUUUUAUAGACAACUUGUUGACUAUGAUUUGUCUUGUAGCUUACUCGCUUAUGUUAUUUUACCUACGCUUAGGAUGUUGAGUUGCGACAUACGCAC
rnacentral:rRNA from 1 species